GACGAACGCUGGCGGCGUGCCUAAUACAUGCAAGUCGAGCGAAGUUUUUCUGGUGCUUGCACCGGAAAAACUUAGCGGCGAACGGGUGAGUAACACGUAAAGAACCUGCCUCAUAGACUGGGACAACUAUUGGAAACGAUAGCUAAUACCGGAUAACAGCAUUAACUGCAUGGUUGAUGUUUAAAAGUUGGUUUUGCUAACACUAUGAGAUAGCUUUGCGGUGCAUUAGCUAGUUGGUGGGGUAAAGGCCUACCAAGGCGACGAUGCAUAGCCGACCUGAGAGGGUGAUCGGCCACACUGGGACUAAGACACGGCCCAGACUCCUACGGGAGGCAGCAGUAGGGAAUCUUCCGCAAUGGGCGAAAGCCUGACGGAGCAACGCCGCGUGAGUGAAGAAGGAUUUCGGUUCGUAAAGCUCUGUUGUUAGGGAAGAAUGAUUGUGUAGUAACUAUACACAGUAGAGACGGUACCUAACCAGAAAGCCACGGCUAACUACGUG
rnacentral:rRNA from 1 species